CUGACAUUUCACUACCGUGUACUGACUGCUGGCGCAGAAAUACAGCGCUGAGUCUGCCGUUUCGGAGGAUGGGAUUUGCAGGCUGCAGGGACUCACCAGCUCCCAGGAGACAGAGGGCUAAACAGCAGAGGAGCCUCGUGUUCAUGGCAGCAACCAAGGCGAGAAAGGGGGGUGUUUGCCUGCCCCCUCAGCGUCCUUCUCCUGUGGUGGCUUUGCAGACUCAGCCUCCUGGUGCCUUCAUGUUCCUGAGCACAACCCCGCCCUCCUGUCAGAAGGGAGCGCCCUUCCCUGCUGUGGAAAUACAAUUCAGCUUCCUCUAUUCAAGCAGGAAUGACUAAUGAUAAUGAGAUCACACAUUAUUUAAUGUGAUGACCUUUGUGAGGAACCAAGGACAUGGACAACCACUGAAACUUUGGACUAACCAAUCACCUGCCUGCUGAUGACAUCAGCUGUUACUUCAGAUCAGCCUGAGCAACAGCCUACAAGGAAUUUUCAUACUUAUGUUCAUUAAACAAGAC